GAUGAACGCUGGCGGCGUGCUUAACACAUGCAAGUCGAACGAUGAAGCCCAGCUUGCUGGGUGGAUUAGUGGCGAACGGGUGAGUAACACGUGAGUAACCUGCCCUUAACUCUGGGAUAAGCCUGGGAAACUGGGUCUAAUACCGGAUAGGAGCGCCUACCGCAUGGUGGGUGUUGGAAAGAUUUAUCGGUUUUGGAUGGACUCGCGGCCUAUCAGCUUGUUGGUGAGGUAAUGGCUCACCAAGGCGACGACGGGUAGCCGGCCUGAGAGGGUGACCGGCCACACUGGGACUGAGACACGGCCCAGACUCCUACGGGAGGCAGCAGUGGGAAAUAUUGCACAAUGGGCGAAAGCCUGAUGCAGCGACGCCGCGUGAGGGAUGACGGCCUUCGGGUUGUAAACCUCUUUCAGUAGGGAAGAAGCGAAAGUGACGGUACCUGCAGAAGAAGCACCGGCUAACUACGUG
rnacentral:rRNA from 1 species